AUGCCCUCCCUCCUAUGCUGCCCCCUGAAAUCGCUGGCCGUGGUGAUCGGCCCCAGGGCAUCGCCAGGACACAGCUGGGCUUUGAGGAGGGGCAGCUCCCUUGCAGUCUGGGUGGUUGGGAACGCGUUGUGCCCUUUCCACUGCCCCGGAGACGUGGAUGGGGAGGCAGUGCCGCAGACAGAUUCUAGAAUGUGCCAGCCCCAACUAGAGCAGCUGCUGGGCUGUGUGGAGGGAGGAGGUGCUAGAGACAGGAGCUCAGGGAGGAGGAGCAUGGUUGUGGGGGUGGGGGGAAAGGGGAGUAGCAUGGGAGAGAGGAGCUUGAGGAAGGAGCUCAGGGGCAGGAGCAGAGGUUCACAUGUGUCCAGGAAGAUGGCUUGUCACUGGGGCAGGGACCUGAGGACGAGCCGUGGAGCCGGGUUGAGGCAGUGCCCAGGGAUGGCUCCUCUGAGCGGCCUGCUGAUCCUUCAGAGACUGGCAGCAUGAGACAUUGCUGACGAGACAGCUUGUCAUCCUGGGCCACAGCAGUAACAACUGUUCAGGUUUUGGCCAGACUUGCUACUCCCCCAUUCUUUCACCCUGUGUUCUGUGGAAUGCACAUGGUGCCGCUUAGUGUCUCCAGCCCCUUUCUUAAGGAAGAACACCACACCAGCAUGCGAGGCGCACUCUUAGCCUGACAGUGUCCUCAGUAAUUUUAUUGGCAGACAUGGUGGCUAUAAAGGGCACUCGUUAUUUCUGCAGUAUCAGUUCAUUUCAAGCACAGUUUUGGCGGGCCGGCCAGGGUCUCCUCACGGGCUGCACAGAAGGCGUCUCAGAGAGACAUUUUCAGAGUCCGGCAAGUCAACAGGAACGUGCCGUGUUUUGGACUGUACACUCAACAGAAUGCUCCGCGUUUGUGGGCGAGUCAGCCGGUCCUGGAUCCUGGCAAGAGGCAUGCGCUGGGCCACGAAGGGGUGCGGCUCUGUUGGGAGAGCUGUCACAUGGUGGGGUGGUCUUGUGCUCCCUGGCACGAUGGCCAUGGGCCACAUGUGGCUGCUGAGCACUGGAAGUGUGGCUUAUCCAGCUUGAGGUGUGCUGGGAGUACACCAUUCGGCAAUUGAUGAAAGCAUGUGUCUCGUUAGCGUUGUUCGCGUUGACCUCACGCUGAAGUGAGAAUAUCUUGGUUUGAUGGGGUAAAAUAGGGUGCAUUGUUGACAGUCAUAAUACUUACUGUUGAAAAUGUGCACGUUAGAAAAUUUCAAGUCCCAGCUGUGGCUCUCCAUAGGCAGGACAUCUGCCAUAGCCUGCUCAGGGCUACGAGAGCAGGCCUGGGUCCUAACCCCCUCGCAUGGCUGUCUGAGUGCUAUGACCUGGGUCAUCACACCAUGAUCCCUGUGGGCUCAUCACAUCAGGGCUGCACUGACUGGCCCUGAGCUUAGGGUCUUGGGCAAGCUACCUGGGCCUGGUUUGAGACACAGCUAGUUUGAAGGCUCUUAGAGACCAGUUGGGGUGCAUGGCAGGGGAUCCACAGUCCUUACCCAGAUCUGGGCUGACCGGGAUGAGGUCGUGGGUGUGUGGCUUCAGCCCCCAGAGUCACACGUCUGUGCGAGCGUGUGGGCACGGGGUGGAAGGAGGCCAGAUGCUCAAGCGCCACAGCGUUACUAGCAGUGCUUGUCUGACAGCACCAGCUGGGUUGGGUUCAGGACAACAUACUUCCUUUUCUAGUUCUGUGUCCCUGUGUGCUUUCCCAGUGAGAUCUGGCCAGUAGCUGCCUUACUAAAAGCCCAUGCCAUCAGCACAGGUGCACCUGUGCCUGCUCAAGUGCAGAUCCUGCUGGUCUGGAAGAUGCUUGGUGGGGUUGACAGGGACAUAGAUGGCCCAGCACAGGGGGUCCCUCGUGGGUGUGGAAUAGGGUGCACAUGGGUAGUACAGGCCGGCCUGCCGGGGACAUGUGUGUGCAUACCUCCUGGAGCGCCGCGUUGGUGCACUGAAGGUGGAGGCCUGCUGGGAGGGGUGGUUGGUGGGAGAGGGACCUGCCUCACACGGUGCUGAGCGGUGACUGUUUAUUGUGCUGUUUGGGCCUCAGCCAUGUGAGGUCAUAGGAACGCGAUGGAAAAGACCUCCUGUAUUAGGUCAUCCAGCCCGUCCCUCAGAGCCGACUGACCCCACAGUAUACUUCCAGAGCUCCGUCCAGUUUUUCCAGUGACUCAGCGGCUCCCAGAGGGCGCGCAAGGCUGGUGUCUGAGGCCUGCUACCUCGGGUCAGGAUUGUUGUUCCGUGCCUGGACGGGGCUCCGGGGGUGAUGCUGGGCUCGCAGAGAGGUGAGGGGCCCAGCCUGCCUCUGUCACAGCGACCUCUGCUCCUCACCGCCGGCCCCUCCAUGAAGCAGGCUGUCGCGGUGCUCCUGCAGCUGAGCCUCCAGGACUUGGCAGGGGCGCGCCUCACAUGGCGCUUUAUAGUUUUGACAGCUUGCUCCCAUUUGUGAGCUCAUUCCGGCCUCACCACUCCUGAGGAAGGAGCUGAUCUGCUCAUCCUCCCGGCCACCUCCCUGCCUCCAUUCUCUUCCUCGUGUGGCAGCCAGCAGUGCAGGUGUGGCUUCUUGCGAUGCCUCCCGAGACGUCACCUGGGGACUGGUGUGCUGUCCCCUGAGGUGUGGCCAGUCCUAGGCUGUGGUGUCACCUGGUGGUGCCAGUGGGGGUGAUAUCAGUGCGCGGUAUGGCGCCCUGUGGGGUCCCCGCUGUGUCCCCUGGGCCAGUCACUGCUGACAUUCGUCCUUGCAUGACCAAGGACUUAGAAGUCAUCUGCGGGCCAUGGACCCGCUGGGAGAGGGCAGGACAGGCACCCCGUGCUCCCUCGACGAUCACAUUCUGCAGGCCCUUUGUCCUGACCCGACUUUCCCUGAAACUGGCAUUAACAUUUAUUGCAGGUAGUUGGUCAUAAGAUUUCUCUUAAAAUCAUUCCUUUUUGUUGUCAGCUUGAGGAUAUUAAAGUUUUAAAGCCAGGCUCAGCACGCACGUAGUUAAAGUACCUUUCACAAUGCAAGUAGUCUCAGUAGAAUUGCAGUAAAACGCCUGCUCUUACAGCGUGUGAGACUUUGGACGUGUGACGGAGCCACAGAAAUGGGGCGCGGGGCCACCAAUCCAGCCUGUCAGCGUCCCUCCUCCCCUCUCAGCCCGCAGGAUUGUGCUCCACUAUCUCACCUCCCUUGGGUGCUUUGUAUGUGAAAGUGUCAAAACACAAGGAGAAAGUGGUUUGGCUUUUCUUUGUAAAUCCUGUGUUUCCAGCUAGUCUGGGUUUGGGUCCUUGGGUGCAGACAGGUACUGAAGACAGUGACUGUACAGACCCCCAGGCUGCAUUGUCAACUCCAGCCUGCUGCCCGCCCUGGGGGUCAAUGCUGCUGAGUGGCCAGCUGAAGACCCAGAUCCAGGACUGGAGGGCAAAGUGUGCAUCACCCCUACUGACUCACACACAUUUCCUAAGCACUAUAAACGUGACGGAAGAUACUGUUUUUGAGAGUUUGAAGAAAGGCAUCCCCCCCUGCCACAUGUGCCUCUCUUGCAGAUUCCUGAGGAACUCAAGGGUCUGCCCUGGACACCGAGGCAAGAGCUGGAGAGGCGGACGAGGCCCUGGAUGACAUCACCGCCGCCGUGGACCGGACCCACCCUAACCCAUCGACAAGCACAAUCGGAGGGCAAAGAAAAACUGACUUAGAGGGACAAGAAAGCAUGACAGUCACUUCCCUGAGUGCUUUGUUCUCAACACCUGCACGCUUCCUUGACCAGAAAGCCCGGGAAGUUGGGUCCAGGGCUAGGCGGUACCUGGAGGCCCUUGCCCUGGGAGGUGCAGGCCUGCCUGGCUGUAGGGGCCUGGCUCCCUGUGUACUGUAUGCUGACCAUGGCCCCCAGCGGGGAGGAGAAGCUCCAGGAGGCCUGCCACCCCCAUGGUGGCCCAGCUCCUCUUGCUCUCACCUGUCCUGGGCCCUGAUUCCCUGCUCCCUACCCUUACUCCCUCACUCCUCCCCCCCACUAUCCCCCUUCUCCCUCCCUCUCCUCCC
rnacentral:lncRNA from 1 species